AAUGAAAUUGUAUUCAACAAAAAGGAAAAUGAUAUAUGUACUCUAAGGGAGUAAAAUUUCCGCCACAUGUCUUGAUUUUAUU